AGCCCAUGGUGAGGGCACUUGUUCAGCAACGCCUUAAACCUAUCCCAUGUCUCGUAGAAAGACUCCCCUGGCUGCUCAGUGAAUGCAUAGAUGAGAUUUCUAAGACG
rfam:Helianthus annuus linkage group 12, whole genome shotgun sequence.